rnacentral:misc_RNA from 1 species
UUUGAACUUGCUAUGUAGCUCAGGCA